rnacentral:rRNA from 1 species
AUGCAAGUCGAACGGAGUGCUCAUGACAGAGGUUUCGGCCAAUGGAUUGAGUUACUUAGUGGCGGACUGGUGAGUAACGCGUGAGGAACCUGCCUUUCAGAGGGGGACAACAGUUGGAAACGACUGCUAAUACCGCAUGACACAUCGGAGGGGCAUCCCUUUGAUGUCAAAGAUUUUAUCGCUGAAAGAUGGCCUCGCGUCUGAUUAGCUAGUUGGUGAGGUAACGGCCCACCAAGGCGACGAUCAGUAGCCGGACUGAGAGGUUGACCGGCCACAUUGGGACUGAGAUACGGCCCAGACUCCUACGGGAGGCAGCAGUGGGGAAUAUUGGGCAAUGGACGCAAGUCUGACCCAGCAACGCCGCGUGAAGGAAGAAGGCUUUCGGGUUGUAAACUUCUUUUGUCAGGGAAGAGCAGAAGACGGUACCUGACGAAUAAGCCACGGCUAACUACGUGCCAGCAGCCGCGGUAAUACGUAGGUGGCAAGCGUUGUCCGGAUUUACUGGGUGUAAAGGGCGUGUAGCCGGGGAGACAAGUCAGAUGUGAAUCUGGAGGCUCAACCUCCAAACUGCAUUUGAAACUGUUUCUCUUGAGUAUCGGAGAGGUAAUCGGAAUUCCUAGUGUAGCGGUGAAAUGCGUAGAUAUUAGGAAGAACACCAGUGGCGAAGGC